rnacentral:antisense_RNA from 1 species
CUUGACGGAGCCCAGCAGCAGCGGCCGGCCCUCGGGCCGGUCCUGGCCGUAGGUGGCCAGCAGCGCCUGCGCCUC